UACGUAGGGGGCAAGCGUUGUCCGGAAUUAUUGGGCGUAAAGCGCGCGUAGGCGGCUACUUAAGUCGGAUGUGAAAGCCCUUGGCUCAACUGAGGAAGUGCAUCCGAAACUGGCAGGCUAGAGUACUAAAGAGGAUCGCGGAAUUCCCGGUGUAGAGGUGAAAUUCGUAGAUAUCGGGAGGAACACCGGUGGCGAAGGCGGCGAUCUGGGUAGAUACUGACGCUGAGGUGCGAAAGCGUGGGGAGCAAACAGG
rnacentral:rRNA from 1 species